rnacentral:miRNA from 10 species
GGUGCUUGUUAAAAAUGAUGGAUUCUUGAGUUCCAGCUCAUAAUUACUGAAUCAGACUAUCUAGUGAUGGCCUCCAGGAAUCUGCAUUUUAACCUCAUC